rnacentral:rRNA from 1 species
AUUGAACGCUGGCGGCAGGCCUAACACAUGCAAGUCGAACGGUAGCACAGAGAGCUUGCUCUCGGGUGACGAGUGGCGGACGGGUGAGUAAUGUCUGGGAAACUGCCUGAUGGAGGGGGAUAACUACGGGAAACGGUAGCUAAUACCGCAUAACGUCGCAAGACCAAAGAGGGGGACCUUCGGGCCUCUUGCCAUCAGAUGUGCCCAGAUGGGAUUAGCUAGUAGGUGGGGUAACGGCGCACCUAGGCGACGAUCCCUAGCUGGUCUGAGAGGAUGACCAGCCACACUGGAACUGAGACACGGUCCAGACUCCUACGGGAGGCAGCAGUGGGGAAUAUUGCACAAUGGGCGCAAGCCUGAUGCAGCCAUGCCGCGUGUAUGAAGAAGGCCUUCGGGUUGUAAAGUACUUUCAGCGGGGAGGAAGGGAGUGAGGUUAAUAACCUUAUUCAUUGACGUUACCCGCAGAAGAAGCACCGGCUAACUCCGUGCCAGCAGCCGCAGUAA